UACGAAGGGUGCAAGCGUUACUCGGAAUUACUGGGCGUAAAGCGUGCGCAGGCGGCCGAGCAAGUCGAGUGUGAAAGCCCCGAGCUUAACUUGGGAACUGCGCUCGAAACUACUUGGCUAGAGUGUGGCAGAGGGAGGUGGAAUUCCACGUGUAGCGGUGAAAUGCGUAGAGAUGUGGAGGAACACCGAUGGCGAAGGCAGCCUCCUGGGCCAACACUGACGCUCAUGCACGAAAGCGUGGGGAGCAAACAGG
rnacentral:rRNA from 1 species